UACGUAGGGGGCAAGCGUUGUCCGGAUUUAUUGGGCGUAAAGAGCGUGUAGGCGGCUUGGUAGGUCCGCUGUGAAAACUCGAGGCUCAACCUCGAGAUGUCGGCGGAAACCACUUGGCUAGAGUCCGGAAGAGGAGAGUGGAAUUCCUGGUGUAGCGGUGAAAUGCGCAGAUAUCAGGAAGAACACCUAUGGCGAAGGCAGCUCUCUAGUACGGUACUGACGCUGAGACGCGAAAGCGUGGGGAGCGAACAGG
rnacentral:rRNA from 1 species